GAGGGAAAGAUGAAAAGAACUUUGGAAAGAGAGUUAAACAGUACGUGAAAUUGCUGAAAGGGAAACGCUUGAAGUCAGUCACGUCUGCUGGGAAUCAGCCUCGCUUNUGCGUGGUGUACUUUCUGGUAUGACGGGUCAGCAUCAGUUUUGACCACUGGAAAAAGGUGUGGGGAAUGUGACAGCUCCGGCUGUGUUAUANCCUCAUAUUGUAUACAGUGGUUGGGACUGAGGAACGCAGCACGCCGAAAGGCCGGGUCUUUGACCACGUUCGUGCUUAGGAUGCUGGCAUAAUGGCUUUAAGCGACCCGUCUUGAAACACGGACCAAGGAGUCUAACAUGCCUGCGAGUGUUUGGGUGGAAAACUCGAGCGCGCAAUGAAAGUGAAAGUUGAGAUCCCUGUCGUGGGGAGCAUCGACGCCCGGACCAGAACUUUUGGGACGGAUCCGCGGUAGAGCAUGUAUGUUGGGACCCGAAAGAUGGUGAACUAUGCCUGAAUAGGGUGAAGCCAGAGGAAACUCUGGUGGAGGCUCGUAGCGGUUCUGACGUGCAAAUCGAUCGU
rnacentral:rRNA from 1 species